CCCUUAGAUGUUCUGGGCCGCACGCGUGCUACACUGAGUGGAUCAGCGGGUCAGGUUGCGCGAAAGUGUUUCCUAAUCUUUAAAUCCGCUCGUGAUGGGGAUUGACGGUUGCAAUUUUCCUUCAUGAACGAGGAAUACCUUGUAAGCGCGGGUCAUCAUCCCGCGCUGAAUACGUCCCUGCCCUUUGUACACACCGCCCGUCGCUCCUACCGAUUGAGUGGUCCGGUGAGGCUUUGGGAUCUGAGCGGAAAGAGCGUUUCGCUGUUUCUGCCCGGAAAACUCAGUCGAACCUUAUCAUUUAGAGGAAGGAGAAGUCGUAACA
rnacentral:rRNA from 1 species